GGCGACGAUCCGUAACUGGUCUGAGAGGAUGAUCAGUCACACUGGAACUGAGACACGGUCCAGACUCCUACGGGAGGCAGCAGUGGGGAAUAUUGGACAAUGGGCGAAAGCCUGAUCCAGCCAUGCCGCGUGUGUGAAGAAGGCCUUCGGGUCGUAAAGCACUUUAAGUUGGGAGGAAGGGCUCAUAGCGAAUACCUGUGAGUUUUGACGUUACCAACAGAAUAAGCACCGGCUAACUUCGUGCCAGCAGCCGCGGUAAUACGAAGGGUGCAAGCGUUAAUCGGAAUUACUGGGCGUAAAGCGCGCGUAGGUGGCUUGAUAAGUUGGAUGUGAAAUCCCCGGGCUCAACCUGGGAACUGCAUCCAAAACUGUCUGGCUAGAGUGCGGUAGAGGGUAGUGGAAUUUCCAGUGUAGCGGUGA
rnacentral:rRNA from 2 species